GCUCUUCAUUGAUGUUCAGUGCUGUUUGUUCUGUGCAUGAUGUUCAUUUGCAUGAUGAUCUGCAUGCUGUUUUUAUUUUCUAAAUUUGAAAUGUUGUUUUUGCAAUUCAGUCAGGGGUAAUUUUUUUGCUUUAGAGUAAAUAUACUUUGCUUUUUUGUCCAAUUUUUCUGGUUAUAAUAUAUUAAAAUAUUUCUGUUUGAUUUUGUUGCAGUAAAUUGACAAACAGAAUCGCUCCAGGACCAUGGAAGCUGAUCAAGAACAAGAAUGUUCCACAACAGUUGACUGGCUCUGUGGACUGUGGGAUCUUCAUGCUGAUGUAUGCUCUGCACAUGGUCUUUGAGGCACCCUUUGAUUUUACAGCUUCGGAUUUUCCUGUAAUUCGAAAAUGGUGGUGCCUUAUUCUCAUGGAGAAUUUUGCCAUUGAAAGGAAACAUGCUGCCGUUGAUGUGCAGGAGCCACCUAAAGCACAAGAAGACACCGAAAUCGGCGACAUGGUAUGUUUUUAUUGUCUCAAACGGGCACAUGAAAGAGCAUAAUUUCAAAACAUUACUUUACAUGCAUCCUGAUUAAACCACAAUGUAUUGUUGA
ensembl:lncRNA